rnacentral:rRNA from 1 species
GAACUUAGCUUAGUGGCGGACGAGUGAGUAACGCGUGAGUAACCUGCCUUUCAGAGGGGGAUAACGUUCUGAAAAGAACGCUAAUACCGCAUAAUAUAUUGGUGUCGCAUGGCACCGGUAUCAAAGGAGCAAUCCGCUGAAAGAUGGACUCGCGUCCGAUUAGCCAGUUGGCGGGGUAAAGGCCCACCAAAGCGACGAUCGGUAGCCGGGUUGAGAGACUGAACGGCCACAUUGGGACUGAGACACGGCCCAGACUCCUACGGGAGGCAGCAGUGGGGGAUAUUGCACAAUGGAGGAAACUCUGAUGCAGCAAUGCCGCGUGAGGGAAGACGGUCUUCGGAUUGUAAACCUCUGUCCUUGGUGAAGAUAACGACGGUAGCCAAGGAGGAAGCUCCGGCUAACUACGUGCCAGCAGCCGCGGUAAUACGUAGGGAGCAAGCGUUGUCCGGAUUUACUGGGUGUAAAGGGUGCGUAGGCGGCUCUUUAAGUCGGGCGUGAAAGCUGUGGGCUUAACCCACAAAUUGCGUUCGAAACUGGAGGGCUUGAGUGAAGUAGAGGUAGGCGGAAUUCCCGGUGUAGCGGUGAAAUGCGUAGAGAUCGGGAGGAACACCAGUGGNNAAAGGNGGCCUACUGGGCUUUAACUGACGCUGANGCACGAAAGCAUGGGUAGCAAACAGGNNUANAUACCCUNNNNUCCAUGCCGUAAACGAUG